AGCCAGGACGCUUCCUGGGAAGAUGUAUGUAGGGCUUUACAGUGGGAUGUGUGGGGCCCAGUCAGUGCCGAGGAGAACUGGCUGAAGGACACACGAAAAGGGGGAAAGAGGCAGAGAAGGGGGUCCCCAAAGUCCAGUGUCACCCGCAUCAGCUAUUCCUAUGAGGGUUGUGCCUAUGGCUGUAGACCCUCCUAAUAUGGUUGAAUCAUAAUGGUUUAGGACACUCACCAGGUGACAUCACUCACCAGCUGGUGUCCAGGGGCUGGAAUGGAUGCCCGAGUUAUAGGACCUGGGAACCAAGGAAGAGAGCAGGAAAGAGCGCACACCAAGAACUCCCACGGCCGCUCAGACCAGUGUCUCCCAUAAUGUCCGCAUUCCAGCCACAUCCUGCACGUGCUGAACCUCAGCCAGGAAGCCACCUUCUCCUCCCACACUCUGCUAAGGGGACUCGGACUUGCCCCUGCGCUUGGCCCAAAUGCCACCUCCCAGAGAGGCCCCCCUGCCCGUACCUACCCCCCAUGCAUUCCACUGUUCUCUGGGGUUUUUUUCUUCAGAGCACUCACUGCAAUAUUCGUGUUUUGGCAGACACAGGGAUUAAAUAUCUGAAGAGAAGGUUCUAUUAAAGAGAUGUUUCAAGAGCCUGGGAAGUCGGAAUAUUUCAUAAGCCAACUCGUAGUGACAAGACCUGCCCCCUGGAAGUGGGAGGGGAGCACUUCCCAAUCAAGCUUCAUUUUCCAAGGGUGGAGAGUAGAAAGAAACGGGGAAGAAGCAUAUUCCUAAAGACGCUAACAUCGUCAGAUACUAGAAAAGCCACUGCAUGUAUCUUGUGUGUCAGCUUUAGAGCUGCCUUCACGUAACUGACGGAUGGGGUAUUUUGUCGCCUAACGUUGAAUACUGCUAAUUAGAGAGGCAAAGAUUGCCUUUUUCUUGAGUUCAUUUUAAAUAAAAGGCUCCAUUGAAACAAUGUCUCGGUAAAAAUUUAGGUACUAGCAAUUGAUGGGUAAAACUCUGUACCUAAGAUUUGUAUUAUAUCGGUUCCAAAAUAAUUAGGUUGGCAAACCUGUUAGGAACACCUCUCCCCUAUGAACACUGUCGUCUGCUGGUUUUCAAAGGAUGGCUACAUCUUACGUGAAAUGUAUUUCCAAGUUUUGCCGAGUAUUAAGGUGACUGGUUUUACUUCUUUUAUUAGAUACUUAGGUUUUCCCUUUUUUUAUAUAUAUAUUGCUUAAAAACAAACCUGCAUUUAGAGGCGUUGUGCUGCCUGAAGCCUCCUUGUUCAACACAGAGAAGAUUUCUCGCUGGUGCGAUUGCCCCCUCUCUUCUCUUUAAGCAAACACUGAAGGCUUUCAGCUGCUGCCCAAGACGUCCCUUUAAGACCCUUAAGGCAGUUUGAAAGGCUUCCAAAAAAGCAUGACAUUCAAUCAAAGUUCAGCAAGGAAAGUUUUAAUGAAUAAACCUGGUAAAUGAGAGAGCAGUGCGGCAGCGUGAUUAACUCUCAUUUGUGCAUUAGUGUUGAAAUUAAUUAAAAUGUUUAAGCCGUAGGAGGCUGGUUGCCUCGUCAGGACCUGGCUCUGCCCUCGGAGUCAGUCUGGAUGCAGGAGUGAUUCAUCUUACACAGAUGAGAGGGGAGAGAAGAAAAGAACAGUCAGGACAAAUGUGUUUUCAGUGAUGCUUAGCCGCAGGGAGACCAUUGAGCCCAGGGAGGAGAGCGGCAGAGUGUGACAUCAUCACGGGCCGGCCGUGCGGAGCCGCGUGACGAGCCUGCACACGCUCCUUGCUCCUCUCUCUUGGCCUGGAGGCUGCGUGUGUUCAUUUCUCUGCCAGGCGGGAUGCCGCGGUCUGCUCUCUUCAGGACCACUCACAAUUCCACUCUUUCCCCGACUCCUUUUAAGCCUGCUUGCCACCGUUAACGUCCG